AUGCACGCUGGCGGCGUGCCUAAUCCCUGCAAGUCGCGCGCACAGACGAGGAGCUUGCUCCUCUGACGUUAGCGGCGGACGGGUGAGUAACACGUGGAUAACCUACCUAUAAGACUGGGAUAACUUCGGGAAACCGGAGCUAAUACCGGAUAAUAUAUUGAACCGCAUGGUUCAAUAGUGAAAGACGGUUUUGCUGUCACUUAUAGAUGGAUCCGCGCCGCAUUAGCUAGUUGGUAAGGUAACGGCUUACCAAGGCGACGAUGUGUAGCCGACCUGAGAGGGUGAUCGGCCACACUGGAACUGAGACACGGUCCAGACUCCUACGGGAGGCAGCAGUAGGGAAUCUUCCGCAAUGGGCGAAAGCCUGACGGAGCAACGCCGCGUGAGUGAUGAAGGUCUUCGGAUCGUAAAACUCUGUUAUUAGGGAAGAACAAAUGUGUAAGUAACUAUGCACGUCUUGACGGUACCUAAUCAGAAAGCCACGGCUAACUACGUG
rnacentral:rRNA from 1 species